UACGUAGGCAGCAAGCGUUUGUUCGGAGUUACUGGGCGUAAAGGGUGUGUAGGCGGUCUUCUAAGUUUGGUGUGAAAUCUCCCGGCUCAACUGGGAGGGUGCGCCGAAAACUGGGAGGCUAGAGUACUGGAUGGGAGAGUGGAAUUCCUGGUGUAGCGGUGAAAUGCGCAGAUAUCAGGAAGAACACCCGUGGCGAAGGCGGUUCUCUGGGACGGUACUGACGGCUGGAGACGCGAAAGCGUGGGGAGCGAACAGG
rnacentral:rRNA from 1 species